AUAUACAGUGAGACAAAUUCUAUGAAAAUUAUAGGGAAUUUCACUGACUUGUGUUAGCGAAACAAAUAUUUAAACGCACAGUUAGAUUAUAUAUCGAUAAAAAAAUGCCACUGAUCAAACAAACAUAUACUCUCUGAUUGCCGGCUUGAAACUUUAUUUUUAUGAAAUCUUUUCGUUUAUACCGAAUCAACGAAACGAGCAUAAAAACAGGGGCCGAAGGAACGGUUCGGUUGAAUGUGAAUACGACAAAGGAUGCCGAGGAAGACCUAUGCCCCAUACAACGUACACGGCCCAGUCUGCUCGUUAGUCGAUACUCGUGGUUACCGAUAGACUAACGAAACCUCGAAUAACUGAAUCAGACGAUUCGUUUCUUAUAUAAAAGUGUACUUGAGUCGUGAUAGCACCGUAUGCGACCGAUGUAUCACUGAUGAUACACUGAAAACCAGGUAUAGUACCCACUUAGUUGCACGAGAAAGAGGAUUGACACACAAAUUGAAAUAAACGAACUGACGACACCGAGAAACUGAAUGAUAAAAUGGUGAUGGGUGAAAGAAUGAGAGCACAAGAACGAGAGAGAGUGGAAGGGGGCACAAACAGUGAGAACAGUGCUACAGACAAUAGAGACAAUUAUUGCACACAGACGGAGGAGAUGAUGGAUCAAACGCGGUACCAUUUCGGCGCCCCUUUAUCUUCUUUCACUUAUCUUUUCUUCUCUUCUCUUUUUCUAUCAUCUCUCUACUACCUACCUAUAACCACCCCUAGUGAGCGCUUUCCUCUACCUACCCCCUCUUAUCGUAACACGUUUCGCGUUUAUUUCGCCUUUUAACCUCUUUAACUUUGAUACAGGCACACGAAAUGCGAUUCAACAUUGCGCAUUCAAUCGUUCGUUUUACUAUUAACGUAUGCAAAAUAAGAUAAUUUUAUGUUACGAACCUUUCAUUUAAUGAAAUGCCGCAGAUGUCCAUAAGAUACUUAUAGAAAUGUUUUAAUAUGUAUAAAGUAAACAACGAAUGUUGAACAUAUCGUAUAGCUUUCAAAGUGAUUCGAAGUGUAAAUGUUGAUAAUGUAAAUCUCCGUUCUCUGCUUUGUAAAAUUAAACAAGAAUAAAUUUUCUUUUAAAAAAUA